ACGAACGCUGGCGGCGUGCUUAACCCCUGCAAGUCGCACGGAAAGGCCCUGCUUGCAGGGUACUCGAGUGGCGAACGGGUGAGUAACACGUGGGUGAUCUGCCCUGCACUUCGGGAUAAGCCUGGGAAACUGGGUCUAAUACCGGACAGGAGCCAUUUUUAGUGUGAUGGUUGGAAAGUUUUUUCGGUGUAGGAUGAGCUCGCGGCCUAUCAGCUUGUUGGUGGGGUAAUGGCCUACCAAGGCGGCGACGGGUAGCCGGCCUGAGAGGGUGGACGGCCACAUUGGGACUGAGAUACGGCCCAGACUCCUACGGGAGGCAGCAGUGGGGAAGAUUGCACAAUGGGCGCAAGCCUGAUGCAGCGACGCCGCGGGGGGGAUGACGGCCUUCGGGUUGUAAACUCCUUUCGCUAGGGACGAAGCUUUUUGUGACGGUACCUAGAUAAGAAGCACCGGCUAACUACGUG
rnacentral:rRNA from 1 species